UCUUGCCCUCAUGGAGUUUUUAUUUCAAGGCAGACAAUGCCCUCAUAUGCUUAUUACAUAAACAUUUUGCAAUUUAUGUUUCCAGUAGAGAUUGGCAGUUCGACAGACUGCAAAUUAGAAUGCAGGAGCCCUGCCCUUGCUUUCCUCUUCCUGGCUUGAAAAUGUUCUUUCAGGAAAGACACCUUCCCAGACGUUUCAUUACAUGUUUGAAGUAUUUAUACACAUACCUGGGGAAAAUGAACUCUAAAACUGUGAACUCUACAAGGCACGUAAGUCAAAAGGGUAAGUUGAGUUGUUCAUCUGUGGGUUUUGACUGGUUCCCACCAGGAAACCCCUUUCAAGAAAAACCUUUACCAGCCACACACUUCAAAGAGGUUCCCAGCACUGCCGUGUUUAAAACGUGUUAAUUGGACCUAACUGCAAACAGCUGCCUAGUUUAGCCACUGUUUGGAUUGGCAUUCACCCAUCUAGAUCUAGGUCAUUUUUUUUGUUAUGUGCCAUUCAUAUUGGGAUCUUAAUACAUUUGUUUUAACCUCAGAAUGUGUUGCCAUCCAAAGGAUUGUGGACAAUAAAUAAAAACACAGAGACAACAUAUUUGUCAAGCCCUGAGGUCACUGCCAAGUACAAAAGUACAUUUGAGCGGAUGCCCUAUUUGAUAGACUGUGUGGGGUCAUGGUCCUCACUUAGACAUAUGGGGAAAUUUCCAAAACUAACAACAAAAUCCAUGGCGUUUGCUGGCUUUUGUAUGUGGGUGGAAGCAUUGAAUGAUCUUUUAUUGUCUGUUCUCUUCCACUUAACUGUUGAAUUUUAAUGCCACAUUGUAGGAAGGAGGAAAGAGUAAAUAUUUAUUAGUUUAUUAGGUGAAAUUGCUGUUGGAUCUCGUUUUAUAGAAUGUUGAUGUUUUUCAAGAAGCACGUGUGGGGGCGGCUUAUUGGUUAAACGCGAAGUGUGGUUUUCAAAAUGUUUAACAAGUGCGAAGGCAUGAGCACUGGGCGAUUAGAAGGCACAUUCACUGGGCAUAGUAACUGGCGUGGGCGUACUCAUAUGUUUUUGUGUAGCAACCAAAGGAAUUAUUAUCCAGCAAGUUACCACCAAGAGCAACUAUCUUGUGACCCUGCUGGGAUUCAGUAUAGACUGUGCACCCUGGAGUUAUCUUCCGCAGGAGUGACAGAGCUGGGACAUUUAAGUUCCCAUCCGAUGUUGGUUGAAGGCUGCAUCUUGGACAUUAAUUCUACGGCACUUCUGUCCUGCCAUUCAAGUGGCCAAGCAUGGCUUCCCCUUUUUCCAGAAGAGGAAAUGAGGACUGGAGAUGUCGAAUAACCUACCCAAGGACAUGCAGGAAAAUGUGGAAUUCAAACACUCCACUCAUUGGACAGAGGAAAGGGUCAGUUGAGGUGACGGAUGAUAGAUAUUCUGGGAAGAGGAAGAGCCGGACUGUGGAGAAAGAGCUGGGGGCUGCUGUCUGGCCCGGACAGGCUUCUCCUCUAGUCUACAGAGGGGACCACGUGCUGCCUGGAGCUCCGUCUUGACAUCUUGGCGAUUACUCUCUCCUGGGUGCAGGUAAUGGCCAACAGGUGUGCCUCUUAGGGAAUCACCAGUAGAUCCAGGAUGGUGAGAGCUUAUUUAAUAUGCUGACAUAUUGGGCGGCGACGGGAAGGAUUCCGCAGUCACACCGAGGCUCAUUGAACAAGAGUGAUGUGAGAAGCCCCAACUGACGGACUUACCAAGGCGUUGCCACCGUGGGGACUCCCAGGCUGGAGAUCACAUGGGAAACGUAGCUGGACCUCAGGAGGUGUAUGGCUUCUGUGAGGACCGGAGUGGAGCUCAGGCAGCAGGGCCCUGCAAGGACGGCCCAUAGCAGACCCUACCAGCCACCGACUUCAGCAUGCAGGCCUUCCAGGGAGGACCCGGAGGAUGGCACAGGGACCUGCGCGUACGAAUCACGUGGGUCGAGGACCUCCGUCCCCUUUCAUGCCAGCACCAGAGAGGAUCCUUUUCUCUCCUCUGCUUUACCACCAUCUAGCAUCCAGAGUCACCUAAUUCAAGAGCCCAACUAAGUCAUCCCAGAGUGUGAGGUGACCUGCAGGACAAGUGGGUGCCCAUCACUGCAGAGCCACACACGCACCUGGACCAGGAACCAGAGAAGCUGGAGGAGACCCAGUGGGCAGUGGAGAUGCUGUGGGCCCAGCCAGUGUCCACAGCACCCAGAAAUUCCCUGAUUCCUCUGCCUUCAUUUCCUUGAGGAUACGGAUGAAUAGCUUGGGACUGAUGUUUACCUGCUAUUUGGGAAAGCUUGUUGGGUCAGUUCCCCUGAGUGGUCAUGAGACAGUGCCCAGCUUAGCAGGUGUGUCCCUGAAGUACAUUUGUCAUCAGAAAGGGAAUUCCUCUUUGUUGCAAAUGAAAUGUGAUUGCUUGUCAGGUUGUGCCUUGAGCAUUCAGAAGAAAUGUUACAUUAAUUGGCUAAAAUAUCAGAAUGCAACAGUUCUUAAUGUACUCCACCAUGUCCUGAAGCACUGUCAGAAUCUGAAAUUGACUGGGUGAAUUUCCUCUUUAGUGACAGCUAUAAGUAUCUGCAAAAUGGACUUCUAAAUUUUCAGUGGUUGCCAAAUCAAGAUACUUCUGUAAGAAGAGACCCAGGUUCAAGAUUAAUGGGUAAAAAUGACUUUGAUGGUGAUGAUAAAGAAAUAAUAGUAAUUAACAUUUGUGGAAUGUUAUUUCAUGUAUUACUGCACUUAGUUCUCAGAACAACCCAAUGAAGAAGGUGCUAUAAUAAUCCUCAUUUUACUGGUGAGGAAGUUGGAGCUUAGAAAGCUUAAUAAACUUGUCCAAGGUGACACAGCUAGUGAAUUCCAGAAAUGAGAUUCAAACCAGUCAUUCUGACUCUAGAAACUAUUUUAUUUACUGUCUCCUUAUAUUUCCAGGUUUAGUUUAUAUUUCUUUCCUCUUUCUCCCCUCCCUCCCUCUUUUGCUUCUUCCCUCUCUGCAGACUUCAUUCUUUUCCAUUUGUUCAUUUUCUUUAUAUUUUUUAAAUCUCCAAACAUUGAAUAAGUACAUGCUCUGUGCUGGGCAUGAUGUUAAGAGGCAGGAAUUCAAAGAUGAGCAAGACUCAGAUCAUACUCGCAAGAAACUUGCAGGGAAAUUCUGACAGGAGAAAAGCAGACCUGAAAGGAAAUGGUGCUAAAAAUACCACCAAGAUGUGAAGGACAGACUGACAGCCAGAGUCUUCAGAAUGAGACGGUGCAAAGCUGGAGAAGGUGAAAAUAACAUUUGGUCCGUGAUCACUCCCGGAAUGAUAAUGAUCUGCUUGUAUGUGUCUACAGGGUGGUGCACACAGGAAAUGAGAUGGUUGGGCAGAGUUCUUCAGAUUAAUCUGCCAGAAAGAUUAAGGGGGACAGGGAGGGGAGAAAAGAUGAUUGAUUGCAAUUCCUAAAUAGAUUUUUUUUUUUUUGGGUAGACUUUACAUGCCAUUUCAAACUCUGGGCCUGCUCAUGAAAAUCAAGGGAAGAUGUACUUGUUUGAACUAUUUUUAAAUGUUUACUUUGUUUUUAAUAUCAACUGAAUGACAUGGAUUAUUUAAAAUGCACACUACCCAAGGAUCUAAAGAAACUCCUAUGAAAUCGUAUGGUGUCUGGUGGAAGAAUACAAUGUGUUUCUUCUGACAUUUUAUUCCAUUUCUCUCAAAGGACCAGAAUUUAAGUAGAAUUGAGUUUAAGACUAUAUUCCUGAGAUUCGUGAGUUCGAGCCCCACAUCAGGCUCUGUGCUGACAGCUCAGAGCCUAGAGCCUGCUUCAGAUUCUGUGUCCCCCUCUCUC